rnacentral:rRNA from 1 species
CCUACGGGUGGCAGCAGUGGGGAAUAUUGGGCAAUGGGCGCAAGCCUGACCCAGCGACGCCGCGUGAGGGAAGACGGUCUUCGGAUUGUAAACCUCUUUUGUCAGGGAGCAACGCCGGCUACGUGUAGCCGGACUGAGCGUACCUGAAGAACAAGCAUCGGCUAACUCCGUGCCAGCAGCCGCGGUAAUACGGGGGAUGCGAGCGUUAUCCGGAUUUCUUGGGGUUAAAGGGUGCGUAGGCGGAAUGCCAAGUCAGCGGUAAAAUCGCGGGGCUCAACCUCGCUCAGCCGUUGAAACUGGGGUUCUUGAGUGGACGAGAAGUAUGCGGAAUGCGUGGUGUAGCGGUGAAAUGCGUAGAUAUCACGCAGAACACCGAUUGCGAAGGCGGCAUACCGGCGCCCAACUGACGCUGAGGCACGAAAGCGUGGGUAUCGAACAGGAUUAGAUACCCUAGUAGUC